rnacentral:rRNA from 1 species
CAGCCGCCACGGGAAUACGUAGGUGGCAAGCGUUGUCGGGAAUUAUUGGGCGUAAAGCGCGCGCAGGUGGUUUAAUAAGUCUGAUGUGAAAGCCCACGGCUCAACCGUGGAGGGUCAUUGGAAACUGUUAAACUUGAGUACAGGAGAGGAAAGCGGAAUUCCCAGUGUAGCGGUGAAAUGCGUAGAGAUGUGGAGGAACACCAGUGGCGAAGGCGACUCUCUGGUCUGUAACUGACGCUGAGGAGCGAAAGCGUGGGGAGCGAACAGGAUUAGAUACCCCUGUAGUCCCUGUCUCUUAUAC